rnacentral:rRNA from 1 species
AUUGAACGCUGGCGGCAGGCCUAACACAUGCAAGUCGAGCGGAUGAAGGGAGCUUGCUCCUGGAUUCAGCGGCGGACGGGUGAGUAAUGCCUAGGAAUCUGCCUGGUAGUGGGGGAUAACGUCCGGAAACGGGCGCUAAUACCGCAUACGUCCUGAGGGAGAAAGUGGGGGAUCUUCGGACCUCACGCUAUCAGAUGAGCCUAGGUCGGAUUAGCUAGUUGGUGGGGUAAAGGCCUACCAAGGCGACGAUCCGUAACUGGUCUGAGAGGAUGAUCAGUCACACUGGAACUGGAACACGGUCCAGACUCCUACGGGAGGCAGCAGUGGGGAAUAUUGGACAAUGGGCGAAAGCAUGAUCCAGCCAUGCCGCGUGUGUGAAGAAGGUCUUCGGAUUGUAAAGCACUUUAAGUUGGGAGGAAGGGCAGUAAGUUAAUACCUUGCUGUUUUGACGUUACCAACAGAAUAAGCACCGGCUAACUUCGUG